AAAGCGUGCGCAGGCGGUUAUAUAAGACAGAUGUGAAAUCCCCGGGCUCAACCUGGGAACUGCAUUUGUGACUGUAUAGCUAGAGUACGGUAGAGGGGGAUGGAAUUCCGCGUGUAGCAGUGAAAUGCGUAGAUAUGCGGAGGAACACCGAUGGCGAAGGCAAUCCCCUGGACCUGUACUGACGCUCAUGCACGAAAGCGUGGGGAGCAAACAGGAUUAGAUACCCGAGU
rnacentral:rRNA from 1 species